GGAUCACUAGUACGGCGCAGUGUGCUGGAAUCGCCCUUAGAGUUUGAUCCUGGCUCAGAUUGAACGCUGGCGGUAGGCUUAACACAUGCAAGUCGUGCGAGAAAGUAUCUUCGGAUAUGAGUAGAGCGGCGGACGGGUGAGUAACGCGUAGGAAUCUACCUAGUAGAAGGGGAUAGCCCGGGGAAACCCGGAUUAAUACCGUAUACCUCCUUCGGGAGAAAGAAGGCCUCUCUUUGAAGCUUUCGCUAUUAGAUGAGCCUGCGUAAGAUUAGCUUGUUGGUGAGGUAAAGGCUCACCAAGGCGACGAUCUUUAGCUGGUCUGAGAGGACGAUCAGCCACAUUGGGACUGAGACACGGCCCAGACUCCUACGGGAGGCAGCAGUGGGGAAUAUUGGACAAUGGGCGCAAGCCUGAUCCAGCCAUACCGCGUGUGUGAAGAAGGCCUU
rnacentral:rRNA from 1 species